GACGAACGCUGGCGGCGUGCUUAACACAUGCAAGUCGAACGAUGAAGCCGGAGCUUGCUCUGGUGAAUUAGUGGCGAACGGGUGAGUAUCACGUGAGUAACCUGCCCUUGACUCUGGGAUAACUGCGGGAAACUGUAGCUAAUACCGGAUACGACCCUCGGAGGCAUCUCCUGGGGGUGGAAAGAAUUUCGGUCAAGGAUGGACUCGCGGCCUAUCAGCUAGUUGGUGAGGUAAAGGCUUACCAAGGCGACGACGGGUAGCCGGCCUGAGAGGGUGACCGGCCACACUGGGACUGAGACACGGCCCAGACUCCUACGGGAGGCAGCAGUGGGGAAUAUUGCACAAUGGGCGCAAGCCUGAUGCAGCAACGCCGCGUGAGGGAUGACGGCCUUCGGGUUGUAAACCUCUUUUAGCAGGGAAGAAGCGAAAGUGACGGUACCUGCAGAAAAAGCACCGGCUAACUACGUGCCAGCCGCCGCGGUAA
rnacentral:rRNA from 1 species